GUCCACGCCGUAAACGUUGGGAACUAGGUGUGGGCGACAUUCCACGUCGUCCGUGCCGCAGCUAACGCAUUAAGUUCCCCGCCUGGGGAGUACGGCCGCAAGGCUAAAACUCAAAGGAAUUGACGGGGGCCCGCACAAGCAGCGGAGCAUGUGGCUUAAUUCGACGCAACGCGAAGAACCUUACCAAGGCUUGACAUACACCGGAAAACCCUGGAGACAGGGUCCCCCUUGUGGUCGGUGUACAGGUGGUGCAUGGCUGUCGU
rnacentral:rRNA from 1 species